rnacentral:rRNA from 1 species
UACGAGGGGGGCAAGCGUUGUCCGGAAUUAUUGGGCGUAAAGAGCUCGUAGGCGGCUUGUCACGUCGGAUGUGAAAGCCCGGGGCUUAACUCCGGGUCUGCAUUCGAUACGGGCUGGCUAGAGUGUGGUAGGGGAGAUCGGAAUUCCUGGUGUAGCGGUGAAAUGCGUAGAUAUGUGGAGGAACACCAAUGGCGAAGGCAGCCCCCUGGGUCAACACUGACGCUCAUGCACGAAAGCGUGGGGAGCAAACAGG